rnacentral:lncRNA from 1 species
UUUCAAAUCCACACAACCAUGAGCAUUUUCUUUGCUUUUCUUUUUCUAAAUUUUUUUUAUGCUCUAUGGUUUCAAGGGUGAUUUCUUUGUCUUGUUUCUUUUCAAAUUUUCACCCUUUCAUAAGAAACUCACUUUUCCAAGUUUCUAAUCACUUCUCAUUUUACUCUCCCCAACUUUAGAUUCCAAAACCAAAUUUAUUCAAUAAUGCUCCCUACUUAGACAUAAGCAAAA